rnacentral:rRNA from 1 species
CUCAGGAUGAACGCUAGCUACAGGCUUAGCACAUGCAUGUCGAGGGGAAACGAUAGAGAAAGUUUGCUUUUUCUAGGCGUCGACCGGCGCACGGGUGAGUAACGCGUAUCCAACCUGCCCAUCACUUGGGGAUAACCUUGCGAAAGUAAGACUAAUACCCAAUGAUAUCUCUAGAAGACAUCUGAAAGAGAUUAAAGAUUUAUCGGUGAUGGAUGGGGAUGCGUCUGAUUAGCUUGUUGGCGGGGUAACGGCCCACCAAGGCGACGAUCAGUAGGGGUUCUGAGAGGAAGGUCCCCCACAUUGGAACUGAGACACGGUCCAAACUCCUACGGGAGGCAGCAGUGAGGAAUAUUGGUCAAUGGGCGAGAGCCUGAACCAGCCAAGUAGCGUGCAGGAAGACGGCCCUAUGGGUUGUAAACUGCUUUUAUAAGGGAAUAAAGUGGGAGUCGUGACUCCUUUUGCAUGUACCUUAUGAAUAAGGACCGGCUAAUUCCGUGCCAGCAGCCGCGGUAAUACGGAAGGUCCGGGCGUUAUCCGGAUUUAUUGGGUUUAAAGGGAGCGUAGGCCGGAGAUUAAGCGUGUUGUGAAAUGUGGACGCUCAACGUCUGCACUGCAGCGCGAACUGGUUUCCUUGAGUACGCACAAAGUGGGCGGAAUUCGUGGUGUAGCGGUGAAAUGCUUAGAUAUCACGAAGAACUCCGAUUGCGAAGGCAGCUCACUGGAGCGCAACUGACGCUGAAGCUCGAAAGUGCGGGUAUCGAACAGGAUUAGAUACCCUGGUAGUCCGCACGGUAAACGAUGGAUGCCCGCUGUUGGUCUGAAUAGGUCAGCGGCCAAGCGAAAGCAUUAAGCAUCCCACCUGGGGAGUACGCCGGCAACGGUGCAACUCAAAGGAAUUGACGG